rnacentral:rRNA from 1 species
AGAGUUUGAUCAUGGCUCAGAUUGAACGCUGGCGGCAUGCCUUACACAUGCAAGUCGAACGGCAUCGGGGGAAAGCUUGCUUUCCUGGCGGCGAGUGGCGAACGGGUGAGUAACACAUCGGAACGUACCGGCUAGUGGGGGAUAACCCGUCGAAAGACGGGCUAAUACCGCAUACGCUCUUCGGAGGAAAGCAGGGGACCUUUGGGCCUUGCGCUAGCCGAGCGGCCGAUGUCCGAUUAGCUAGUUGGUGGGGUAAAGGCCUACCAAGGCGACGAUCGGUAGCGGGUCUGAGAGGACGAUCCGCCACACUGGGACUGAGACACGGCCCAGACUCCUACGGGAGGCAGC